AGAGCUAUGAUUAUUGCUCAGGACGAACGCUGGCGGCGUGCCUACAUACAUGCAAGUCGAACGAACUCUGGUAUUGAUUGGUGCUUGCAUCAUGAUUUACAUUUGAGUGAGUGGCGAACUGGUGAGUAACACGUGGGAAACCUGCCCAGAAGAGGGGGAUAACAUUUGGAAACAAGUGCUAAUACCGCAUAACAACUACUUUCACAUGAUCGUAGCUUGAAAGAUGGCUCUGCUAUCGCUUUUGGAUGGACCCGCGGCGUAUUAGCUAGUUGGUGAGGUAAUGGCUCACCAAGGCAAUGAUACGUAGCCGACCUGAGAGGGUAAUCGGCCACAUUGGGACUGAGACACGGCCCAAACUCCUACGGGAGGCAGCAGUAGGGAAUCUUCCACAAUGGGCGAAAGCCUGAUGGAGCAAUGCCGCGUGAGUGAAGAAGGUUUUCGGAUCGUAAAACUCUGUUGUUGAAGAAGAACAUGCGUGAGAGUAACUGUUCACGUACUGACGGUAUUCAACCAGAAAGCCACGGCUAACUACGUGCCAGCAGCCGCGGUAAUACGUAGGUGGCAAGCGUUGUCCGGAUUUAUUGGGCGUAAAGAGAAUGUAGGCGGUUUAUUAAGUUUGAAGUGAAAGCCCUCGGCUCAACCGAGGAAGUGCUUCGAAAACUGGUAAACUUGAGUGCAGAAGAGGAAAGUGGAACUCCAUGUGUAGCGGUGGAAUGCGUAGGUAUAUGGAAGAACACCAGUGGCGAAGGCGGCUUUCUGGUCUGUAACUGACGCUGAGAUUCGAAAGCAUGGGUAGCAAACAGGAUUAGAUACCCUGGUAGUCCAUGCCGUAAACGAUGAGUGCUAAGUGUUGGAGGGUUUCCGCCCUUCAGUGCUGCAGCUAACGCAUUAAGCACUCCGCCUGGGGAGUACGACCGCAUAGGUUGAAACUCAAAUGAAUGACGG
rnacentral:rRNA from 1 species